ensembl:lncRNA
ACACAAUCAUUACCAGCAUUUGCUCCAGCACAGCCUCUGAUGUCUCAGUACUCAGAACCUCCCCCACUGCGAUCUGUACGUUAUUCAGAUCCUUACCAACAGGGGUAUAGAUCUACCACACUCCUAGACACGCGAGCUCAGCCACAGUCAUAUUCUGCACCAUUCCCUUCUACUGUACAGCCAGCUCAAGUUCCAAGCAUGGUGGAGAUGGCUAUUGCCUCCUCUUAUGGAAUACCUAAGCCUAAACUCAUUCAUUUCACUACAGGGAAGGAGAGUGAUUUUGCUCUAUUAAAGAAGGGACUUGAUGGCAUUCUGGGCCCACAUCUCCAUUUAACGGAGGACUAUAAAUUCCAAGUGUUACUUGAUCAUCUCAAAUUACCAGCUGCCUUUCAAAUAGCUAAGAGAUACAUGUAUGACCCCAUGCCUUAUACCAGAGCCAUGCAAGCUUUGCAGCAGCGUUAUGGACAGCCCCGACAACUGGUACAGGGAGAAAUCGGUAACAUUCUCCGCACACCUCCAUUGAAACCCGGGGAUGCUCAAGGAUUUGAGGACUUUGCGUUGUCAGUUAGUACUCUUGUUGGCCUCCUUAAUACAUUGGAGGGUUCAUCCAAAACUGAACUUAUGUGUGGUUCCCAUGUUGAUAGGUUGCUCACUAAACUUCCAUCCUCUCAAAGGGAUAGUUUUGUUGAAUACUGCAUAACCAAAGGUAUUAUCCAGAAUGGGACUGACAAAACCUACACUCUUCCUGAGUUUGCAGAGUGGCUCGAAAGAAAAUCACAAGCACUUCAGAUAUCAAGGAGAGCAGCUGAUCUCUAUAGUUCAGAUAGACCUCGCUCUGAUAAUCGAGAACAGAAAACUCUGAAGCCACCAAAGGUACAGUCCACAAUCUACUAUGGCAUAGAUCAUGCUACAGAAAAGCCCUCAGACACAUUGUUCCAGGCGAAGAAAGAGCAGACAAAAGCCAAGAAACGGGAAAGCUUUAAGCCCUACUGCCCCUUCUGCAAAUGCCAACAGCAUUACCUCAACUCUUGUCCUGAGUUUGGUAAAUUAAACAUUGCUCAAAUAACAGCAUGGAUAAAGGACAACAACAGAUGCUGGAAAUGUGGUAGAGGUCAUGAGCCUGCAAACUGCACCCUGAAAAAGCAAUGUCCCACUUGUGGUGAACAACACUUGUCAGUUCUUCAUGAAACCGCAUCCAACAUCAACAAGAGCAUCCUUACUGUGAAUACAGUACCCCGUACAGUUUACCUUGAUCAAGUAACUCACUCUGGUAGAGUCACAUUGAAAGUGGUUCAGGUCAGACUUCAUAGCAAAGGGAGAACAUUGGACACGUAUGCCAUUCUAGAUGAUGGGUCUGAAAGGACCAUAAUACUCCCCACAGCAGUGCACUACCUUGAUCUGGAGAAAAAGGAUGAAUCACUUGCCCUCAGGACAAUUAGACAGGAGGUAGUAGAGAUUCAGGGUGCAUCAGUCUCAUUUGAAGUUUCUGCCUCUGUGAAUCCAAGCAUUCGUCACAAGAUUCACACUGCUUUUACAGCACAAGAGCUGAACAUUGCCAAGCAAUCCUGCCCUGUGGACAUUUUAAAGCAGAAGUUUGUACAUCUG